rfam:Ciona savignyi cont_33192, whole genome shotgun sequence.
GCUUAUCCUCAUUCCAGAUUGAAUAUACCCGAUCUCGUCUGAUCUCGGAAGUCAAGCAAUCUCGGGCUUGGUUAGUACUUGGAUGGGUGACCGCUUGGGAAUACCAAGUGUGAUAAGCA